rnacentral:rRNA from 1 species
UACGAAGGGGGCUAGCGUUGCUCGGAAUCACUGGGCGUAAAGCGCACGUAGGCGGAUUUCUAAGUCAGGGGUGAAAUCCUGGAGCUCAACUCCAGAACUGCCUUUGAUACUGGGAAUCUCGAGUCCGGGAGAGGUGAGUGGAACUGCGAGUGUAGAGGUGAAGUUCGUAGAUAUUCGCAAGAACACCAGUGGCGAAGGCGGCUCACUGGCCCGGUACUGACGCUGAGGUGCGAAAGCGUGGGGAGCAAACAGG